UACGUAGGGUCCGAGCGUUGUCCGGAAUUACUGGGCGUAAAGAGCUCGUAGCGGUUGUCGCGUCGGCCGUGAAAUCUCCACGCUUAACGUGGAGCGUGCGGUCGAUACGGGCAGACUUGAGUUCGGUAGGGGAGACUGGAAUUCUUGGAUGUAGCGGUGAAAGUGACGUAGAUAUCAAGAGGAACACCUGAGGUGAAGACGGGUUGCUGGGCUGACACUGACGCUGAGGCGCGAAAGCUAGGGUAGCAAACGGG
rnacentral:rRNA from 1 species